UUACUCCUACGGGAGGCAGCAGUGGGUACUCCUACGGGAGGCAGCAGUGGGGAAUAUUGGACAAUGGGCGAAAGCCUGAUCCAGCAAUGCCGCGUGAGCGAUGAAGGCCUGAGGGUAGGAAAGCUCCUUACCCGGGAUGAUAGUGACAGUACCGGGAGAAUAAGCUCCGGCUAACUCCGUGCCAGCAGCCGCGGUAAUACACUGUGCCAGCAGCCGCGGUAAUACA
rnacentral:rRNA from 1 species